CCCAGGUAGUUGUCAGAUUGUCUGGUGGUGCUACCUACAAAUGCCAAUAUUUUCCCUGUUUUAAUAGAUAUGUUUGUUGUUACUCUCUUUCAGAGUUUAUUUCAAGAAGAUGGAGAGGGUCGCAUGAAUAUUGACCUUUCUAAACAUGCAACUGCAUUUCUUCUUCAAGCCAGAGAAACCCAUCGACUGACACAGAGAGCUGUUAACCAAAUGGAUAAGACCAUCAAAGAACUGUUAGAACCAGUUGAACCUGAGAUUAUUGUUGCAAAACAAACAGUAUGUUAUGUGAAACAUGGAGACUCCAGAGUUCUUACCAUUAAGGACCAUUGUUUUCAUUAUAUACCGUUGGUGAAAAGUUUGGAGCAGCUGCUAUCACAUCCAAGAACAAUUGCAAUGAUUGAUGAGAGGCCACAGACAUGCAAGGAUGGAUUUUUUCAUGAUUUCAUUGAUGGAGACAUUUUUAUUUCGCACCCACUGUUUUUGAAAUUUCCCACAGCAUUGCAGUUGGUUUUAUAUACAGAUAAAAUUGAGCUAUGCAAUCCUCUUGGAUCUCGGGCAAACAAAAACAAAUUGUUAUUGAUUUAUUACACCUUAGGUAACAUCAACCCUAAAUACAGAUCAAGACUUGCUGCCAUUCGUCUGCUUGCCAUGGUAAAAUCAAAAGAUCUUUCCCAUU
rnacentral:lncRNA from 1 species